UGGGGAAUUUUGGACAAUGGGCGAAAGCCUGAUCCAGCAAUGCCGCGUGUGUGAAGAAGGCCUUCGGGUUGUAAAGCACUUUUGUCCGGAAAGAAAUCCUUGGCUCUAAUACAGUCGGGGGAUGACGGUACCGGAAGAAUAAGCACCGGCUAACUACGUGCCAGCAGCCGCGGUAAUACGUAGGGUGCAAGCGUUAAUCGGAAUUACUGGGCGUAAAGCGUGCGCAGGCGGUUUGCUAAGACCGAUGUGAAAUCCCCGGGCUCAACCUGGGAACUGCAUUGGUGACUGGCAGGCUAGAGUAUGGCAGAGGGGGGUUAGAAUUCCACGUGUAGCAGUGAAAUGCGUAGAGAUGUGGAGGAAUACCGAUGGCGAAGGCAGCCCCCUGGGCCAAUACUGACGCUCAUGCACGAAAGGCGUGGGGAGCAAAGCAGGAUUAGAUACCCUGGUAGUCCACGCCCUAAAUCGAUGUCAACUAGUUGUUGGGGACUUCAUUUUCCUUAGUAACGUAGCUAACGCGUGAAGUUGACCGCCUGGGGAGUACGGUCGCAAGAUU
rnacentral:rRNA from 1 species